CGGGAGGCCGGGCUAAGCUGGUUACUGCCACUCUCCUUCUUUUCAAGCGGGCUGCUGGGUGAAAGUGAAAGUGAAGUCGCUCAGUUGUGUCCGACUCUUUGCGACCCGUGGACUGUAGCCCACCAAGCUCCUCCGUCCAUGGGAUUCUCCAGGCAAGAACAAUGGAUAACAAUGGUAACCUGAGUGCAAGAAACACAAGUGGUCAUGUAUGGAUGUGAGAGUUGGAUUGUGAAGAAGGCUGAGCACCGAAGAAUUGAUGCUUUUGAACUGUGGUGUUGGAGAAGACUCUUGAGGGUCCCUUGGACAAUCCAUUCUGAUGGAGAUCAGCCCUGGGAUUUCUUUGGAAGGACUGAUGCUAAAGCUGAAACUGCAGUACUUUGGCCACCUCAUGCGAAGAGUUGACUCAUUGGAAAAGACUCUGAUGCUGGGAGGGAUUGGGGGCAGGAGGAGAAGGGGACGACCGAGGAUGAGAUGGCUGGAUGGCAUCACUGACUCAAUGGACGUGAAUCUGAGUGAACUCUGGGAGUUGGUGAUGGACCGGGAGGCCUGGCGUGCUUCGAUUCCUGGGGCCACAGAGUCAGACACGACUGAGCAACUCAACUGAACUGAACUGAAUCCCUCAUUAAUAAUGAGUUAGCAAAGUCUUUAAUAAAUGCUUUAUAUUUGUGUGAAAGUCAUGAUUUUGCCUUCAUCUGAAAAAUUUCCAUUGAUGCCGAGUACAAAAGUAAUCAGUGCAAUUCGUAUUAUUUAACAAAUGCAUAGUAUCAUCACCUCCCGCUCCUCUUGGGAACGUUUUGUAGCGGAUUUAAAGGAAGCUUGGACUAAACUCCUAUUCAGUGUCCUUGGUGAUUUUAUGUUCUCUCGUGGUCACUUUGGUGGCUAAUGGACACUGAGCUCCCAGUUACAAAGUAUUUUUUAAUGACAGCUUUGGCUAUUGGAAAGUACCUUCUUAUAUCAAGUCAAAAUCUUCAUACAACUUCUAACUGUUGGGUCAAGUUAUAUUUCUUUAUCAUACAGAAUGAAUAUAAUCCCACUGUCCUAAAAUUGUCCUUCAAAUAUAGAAAAUAGUUAUAUUCACUGUUACCGUUUUUUUCCCUUCGCAGGAAGAAUUUCCUGAGGUCUUUAGCCUUCCUGAGAUGUAUUCUGAGAUGGAUUAAAAAUCCCUAAUUAUCUUAGACACUCUUAUGAUACUGCUUCCCAAUAGGCCCUAUCAUUCUAUGAAUACACAUUAAAGUUUCAUUAGCAAUUUUGGCAAUAACAUUGCUCUGUUUUUUCAUAUAGAGAUAAAAUCAUAAUAUAUGCUUCUUCCCAUCUGUA
ensembl:lncRNA